GUUUCCCUCUCAUCCCUCAGCAGUUGUGGGUGUGCCCGUGGUUUCGGUACAGGAUGCAUCACUGUAUUCCCGUCCUAAUGUGUCCGGUGAUCCGUGACACGCACUCAAGCUGUGAUUUUUAACACUCGUGUUUGUGUAGAAGCGCCUCAGUGCAGGUGACAGCUUUCCAGGCUGGAAGCACUUGGGAAAAUCACAAGGUUGUCCGACUGCAAUGCAAAUUCAGAUUCGUAUCAGUCAGUCUGGAGCUUUAUUGAGCCAGUUGAUAUUAUUCCAAAGUUUGACUUCGCUGCAAAAAAUCAUAUGCUUUUGUAUUAAGCCAUGAGAAACCAGGAGCAGUCAUUUUUCAGAUGCAGUCUGAGAACCUUCGAGAGCUUGCACUGACGCCGCACGCUGAGCUUUUCUUCUUGAAGAUGGACACAAAUGAACUCCACAACCUCUUAAACGCUAACUGGUUUCCAGAAGGCACGUUAAAUGGUUUCUUAGUACAAUGCAUCUCGAGACAAACAGCUUCUUCAUCUUGUUUCAUUUUGAGAAACAGAACGAGCUGUUUUGCUGAGAAAAUGCACUGGUUUGAGUAAACACAAAAACAUGAUAAAAUUAAGCACUAAUUACAGCUAAAAACGGAUGGUAAAUUAGUUGAGUGUAUUUACUGAGUUAGAGCAAAAAAUGAGCUAAAAGCAAUUAAAAGUGGAGAGAAAAGAAGGAAGAUGCACACAGACCCAUUAACCACCAUACAAAUGGAAAACAGAUGAUUGACUUUGAGGGUUUAAUGGAGGAUUUAAUAAAAUGUUUUGUGGUUCA